UUAUCUCUGUAGAGUCUGCAUAUCAAUAAGCGGAGGAAAAGAAACUAACUAGGAUUCCCUCAGUAACGGCGAGUGAAGCGGGAAGAGCUCAAAUUUGAAAUCUUCAAGGUUUUACCUUGACGAAUUGUAGCUUAAAGAAGUGUUUUCUGUUGGUGUUUUGGUAAAAGUUCUUUGGAAUAGGACAUCAUAGAGGGUGAGAAUCCCGUAUUUGACCAUUAUUUUCAGCUGUGUGAUACACUUUCAAAGAGUCGGAUUGUUUGGGAAUGCAGUCCAAAAUGGGUGGUAAAUUUCAUCUAAAGCUAAAUAUUGGCGAGAGACCGAUAGCGAACAAGUACCGUGAGGGAAAGAUGAAAAGAACUUUGAAAAGAGAGUUAAACAGUACGUGAAAUUGUCAAAAGGGAAGCGUUUGACACCAGUGUUGUUUCUACGAAAAUCAAUUUAUGAUGGCUUGAUGCUAAGCUUUAAGACUUUAUCCGCUUGUUGUUUAGUUUUCUUGUCUUUGUGAAUGCACUUUUCGUGGAACAAGUCAACAUCAAUUUCUUUUGCUGUAAAAGGGUAAGAGGAAGGUGGCUUCGGCUUCGGUUGAAGUGUUUAUAGCCUUUUAUCUCUGCAGUCGGAGAGAUUGAGGUCUGCAGCGUAGACUCUUCGGGGUUAGAUACGUCGGUGUUAAGCUAUAGCUUUUCAUAGACAACUUGUUGACUAUGUUUAGUCAUGUGGCUUACCCGCUGGCGCUAUUUUACCUACGCUUAGGAUGUUGAGUCAUCACACAUCUCU
rnacentral:rRNA from 1 species